rnacentral:rRNA from 1 species
GACAGAGGGUGCAAACGUUGUUCGGAAUUACUGGGCGUAAAGCGCGUGUAGGCGGUUUGGAAAGUCAGAGGUGAAAUCCCGGAGCUUAACUUCGGAAUUGCCUUUGAAACUAUCAGACUAGAAUUCGGUAGAGGAUAGUGGAAUUCCUAGUGUAGAGGUGAAAUUCGUAGAUAUUAGGAGGAACACCAGUGGCGAAGGCGACUAUCUGGGCCGAUAGUGACGCUAAGACGCGAAAGCGUGGGGAGCAAACAGG